UACGAAGGGGGCUAGCGUUGUUCGGAAUUACUGGGCGUAAAGCGCACGUAGGCGGACUAUUAAGUCAGGGAUGAAAUCCCGGGGCUCAACCCCGGAACUGCCUUUGAUACUGGUAGUCUCGAGUCCGGAAGAGGUGAGUGGAAUUCCGAGUGUAGAGGUGAAAUUCGUAGAUAUUCGGAGGAACACCAGUGGCGAAGGCGGCUCACUGGUCCGGUACUGACGCUGAGGUGCGAAAGCGUGGGGAGCAAACAGG
rnacentral:rRNA from 1 species